GACGAACGCUGGCGGCGUGCUUAACACAUGCAAGUCGAACGGAAAGGCCCUGCUUUUGUGGGGUGCUCGAGUGGCGAACGGGUGAGUAACACGUGAGUAACCUGCCCUUGACUUUGGGAUAACUUCAGGAAACUGGGGCUAAUACCGGAUAGGAGCUCCUGCUGCAUGGUGGGGGUUGGAAAGUUUCGGCGGUUGGGGAUGGACUCGCGGCUUAUCAGCUUGUUGGUGGGGUAGUGGCUUACCAAGGCUUUGACGGGUAGCCGGCCUGAGAGGGUGACCGGCCACAGGGAGACUGAGAUACGGCCCAGACUCCUACGGGAGGCAGCAGGGGGGAAUAUUGCACAAUGGGCGGAAGCCGGAUGCAGCAACGCCGCGAGAGGGAUGACGGACUUCGGGUUGUAAACCGCUUUCGCCUGUGACGAAGAGUGAGUGACGGUAAUGGGUAAAGAAGCACCGGAUAACUACGUG
rnacentral:rRNA from 1 species